UUUAUUUUUUAAACUGAAAAUAUUUCAGACCGUAAAAUUGCACUGCAAUCAAACAAUAAAUAUUCAAUCAGAUGGUUAUCAAAUCUGAUCGUAAAAACAGCAAUGUUACAACGGGUAGAAGAUCUCAGGGCAAUGCAACAGAACAAUGUAAAUGAUUACAAAUCCAUUUAGUCAGAAACGUCUCACAGUACACAAAUUGGGGUUAGAGAAUAUUCACUGUGCAAAGCAAGUAAGCAAAAAACCAAAUCAAGCAAAAAAGGAAAAAUACAAAGAAAGACACUCUAAACAGCCCUUUCCCUAAACAAGGACCCUGGACCCCGCCACAUCAAUUUGCAUCAGGCAUUAAGAUUGCUUUUACUUUUUGAGGGUCGUUGCAGAAAUCCUCCCACACACCCCAUUUCCUGCAGUAGAAUUUCAUGGUUUUCUUCUGCUGAAUUGGCAAUUCCCCCCACCCCAUUUACUAUUUUGGUUUAGAAUGGUGAUUAUCUCAGCUAAUGUCUCAGCUUACAUGAGUGCCAGUUGCACGCCCAGGCCUGGUUUGCAGCUAAAAACACAGGACAACAAAAUAGUUGGGCGAUUCAGAGUAUCGGGGAAUACAUGCAGCAGGGCAAUAUAUGAACAAUAUGUGCAAUAAAAGUAUUAGCAAGAAGGUUAGAGACUGGCUUUCAUAACCGUGUUAUUUUAGGGAAGCUGUAAGUAUGACUGUAUGUGAGACCAUAAUUGCGGUGUCUAUCGCGCUGGCACUAGGUGCCAUCGUUAACUAAUUUUUUACAUCCGCUUAUUCAAAAGCACAGUGACCUACCUCAAAACAGUAUGCACGUGUUAUGGUUGAUUAUACAUUUCCUACCUGUUCUAUGUUAAAUUUUGUAUAUAUUGUGUAUUAAUAUUGUUUUUGUAUUUAUUGUACCCUAUUGUAUCAAUGCAAUGUUUUUGGACCCAGGACAUACUUGAAAACGAGAUAAAUCUCAAUGUAUCCAUCCUGGUAAAAUAUUUUAUAAAUAAACAAAUAGAUGGGAGACAUUGCAAGUGAGGCCUCUCAGGUUCUAGUGCGAAUGGGUCCACACUUCUUCAGGAAAGGUUUAACUCUUUUCCCAUCUUAUCUGGUGUGAAAGUGAUUUAUUUUGGAAGUCUGCAAAUUGCAGUAACAUUCUGUAAUAUAUUGUUUAGCUUUAAUGUGCCCGUGUGUGUUAAAAGCAGUGCGUUUGGAAUUUGAGGUGUUUUUUUUUUUGCUAUCUACAUUGUUUUUUCCCCCCCUCACAUCAUGGUCAUGCACUGUAUGUAACACCAAGGUGAC